CGCACAACACGGCUCCGCCCCCCGCCCCCCACCCCCCCAACCCUCUUACUCUGCCUAUGGCUCUCGCUCCGCCUCCGGCGAUGGAUCCCCGUGCGUGGCUGCCGUGCAUGGACAUGGCUAGUCCGCCGGAGACACGAAUCCUGCAUGUGGCUGUCGUCGUCGGCACACCUCUAUUUUUCUCUGUAUUGUCACUGUCCCCUCUUGUGGAUCGAUCUAACCUUGCUCCUCCUUCCGUCGUCGUCGUAGGCCUGGUUGUUGGCCGGUGGCCGCCAUUAAUACGCAAUUGAUGCUCCUCCUUCCGUCGCAGCUAACCGUGAUUUUUUCGCUCACAAUUUCUCUUCUCCGUGUAGAUCUUCCCUUGGUGGCGCUUGCAUCUUCACAUGGCAUAAGAUCGAAGGAUCCUAUGAACCCAGGCCGUCAUGCACGGUCAUCCACCCCGCCGGAGAUUGGUAUUGCUUGCAUGUUCACAGGACCAUGGACAGAGGAUCUCCUGAACACGAUGAACAUCCUAGGUUUUCGAUGUGAGCCAGUGGUUCUUCCAAUUCAUCUCCUAUUUUGCGGAUAGAAACCACGCUAGAUUUUUUUCGCCGGCAGAUCUGAUUCGGACCCACAGUUUGUUUUCCUCGCUCUACGCGGGGAGAUCUCUUAUUCUGACCCUGCCCUGGCUCUGUUCUCUACAAACCCUGACCUACUGCUGCCGUUUUGGGGCUGCUACCGAAGUUUCUGUUCAUGACAGUUCCAGAAGAUAAGUUCACUGCUUGCAGAUGUCGUUCUGGGGCGAUUGGAACAAGGGAGGGGGGGUCUGGCCACAAGCCUUUCUACUGGCUUGGAGCUGGGAAUCUGAAUCUGGAUAAAGAGCCUACUCUGGACGAACUGGAUGUGGAGAAUGUGGGGAAGCUGUCCACCGUCUGGAGAGGUUGAGUCAAUGUUCAGGAACUGGAGGAGUUCCUCCCCCCUCCUCCGGAGGAGUUGACUGUUGGCAGGGAUGAGGUUACCGUGAGAGAUGUUGGUACUUACCGGGGCAAGUGCAGGGAGGGGUCCAUACUGAGAAGAAGGAUUGCUUGCAACUCCCUUGCCGGUCAUCAUGGCAAAUCCCCACUGGACUACCCGCAACUGAAGAAGGUUCAGAAUGCCAUCCGUGAUUUGUUUGACAAGGUUGCUUCAGAGAUACAUGGUUUUAAGGGCCACCCAUACCUUCUCGAAGAAGUGGUUAUUCUUGCCCCAUACCUUCUCGAAGAAGUGGUUAUUCUUGCCCCAGAGCCCGCGCCUAAGAGCUCUUGCAAGUCCAAGCAAAAAGCUAAGAAGAAGUGAAAAUGAAGCCACUCUAAAUCUCAUACGCCUAAGAGCUCUCUGAAGACAAGCAAAACCAGAAGAAGUGAAAACGAAGCCUCUAAAUCUCAUACCAGUUUUGGCAAGACUUCUAUCAUCUUGAGACUGUUAUCAUGCUUUCUCAGUUUUAAGUUUCUUGUCGAAUGCUAUUAUUGGUUCUUUUCACUAUCGGUUUUGUGAAUCACAUACAAAGCUGGGAUGGAAGAAUGAAAUGUCUGGAUCGUCUUUUGGUUUUU